AGUGAACGCUGGCGGUAGGCCUAACACAUGCAAGUCGAACGGCGGCACAGUAAGAGCUUGCUCUUACGGGUGGCGAGUGGCGGACGGGUGAGGAAUACAUCGGAAUCUACUUUUUCGUGGGGGAUAACGUAGGGAAACUUACUCUAAUACCGCAUACGACCUACGGGUGAAAGCAGGGGAUCUUCGGACCUUGCGCGAUUGAAUGAGCCGAUGUCGGAUUAGCUAGUUGGCGGGGUAAAGGCCCACCAAGGCGACGAUCCGUAGCUGGUCUGAGAGGAUGAUCAGCCACACUGGAACUGAGACACGGUCCAGACUCCUACGGGAGGCAGCAGUGGGGAAUAUUGGACAAUGGGCGCAAGCCUGAUCCAGCCAUACCGCGUGGGUGAAGAAGGCCUUCGGGUUGUAAAGCCCUUUUGUUGGGAAAGAAAAGCAGCAGGUUAAUACCCCGCUGUUCUGACGGUACCCAAAGAAUAAGCACCGGCUAACUUCGUG
rnacentral:rRNA from 1 species